AUCCACUCGCAGAGACAUCACC
rnacentral:miRNA from 1 species